GAUGAACGCUGGCGGCGUGCCUAAUACAUGCAAGUCGAGCGAACGGACGAGAAGCUUGCUUCUCUGAUGUUAGCGGCGGACGGGUGAGUAACACGUGGAUAACCUACCUAUAAGACUGGGAUAACUUCGGGAAACCGGAGCUAAUACCGGAUAAUAUUUUGAACCGCAUGGUUCAAAAGUGAAAGACGGUCUUGCUGUCACUUAUAGAUGGAUCCGCGCUGCAUUAGCUAGUUGGUAAGGUAACGGCUUACCAAGGCAACGAUGCAUAGCCGACCUGAGAGGGUGAUCGGCCACACUGGAACUGGGACACGGUCCAGACUCCUACGGGAGGCAGCAGUAGGGAAUCUUCCGCAAUGGGCGAUAGCCUGACGGAGCAACGCCGCGUGAGUGAUGAAGGUCUUCGGAUCGUAAAACUCUGUUAUUAGGGAAGAACAUAUGUGUAAGUAACUGUGCACAUCUUGACGGUACCUAAUCAGAAAGCCACGGCUAACUACGUG
rnacentral:rRNA from 1 species